UACGUAGGGGGCAAGCGUUGUCCGGAUUUAUUGGGCGUAAAGAGCGUGUAGGCGGCCAUACAGGUCAGCUGUGAAAACUCGAGGCUCAACCUCGAGACGUCGGUUGAAACCGUAUGGCUAGAGUCCGGAAGAGGAGAGUGGAAUUCCCGGUGUAGCGGUGAAAUGCGCAGAUAUCGGGAAGAACACCCGUGGCUAAGGCGGCUCUCUGGGACGGUACUGACGCUGAGACGCGAAAGCGUGGGGAGCGAACAGG
rnacentral:rRNA from 1 species